UACGUAGGUGGCAAGCGUUGUCCGGAAUUAUUGGGCGUAAAGCGCGCGCAGGUGGUUUCUUAAGUCUGAUGUGAAAGCCCACGGCUCAACCGUGGAGGGUCAUUGGAAACUGGGGAACUUGAGUGCAGGAGAGAAGAGUGGAAUUCCACGUGUAGCGGUGAAAUGCGUAGAGAUGUGGAGGAACACCAGUGGCGAAGGCGGGUCUCUGGACAGUUCCUGACACUGAGGCACGAAGGCCAGGGGAGCAAACGGG
rnacentral:rRNA from 1 species